UGGGGAAUAUUGGAUAAUGGGGGGAACCCUGAUCCAGCCAUGCCGCGUGUGUGAAGAAGGCCUUAUGGUUGUAAAGCACUUUAAGCGAGGAGGAGGGUACUGGUAUUAAUACUACCAGCUACUGGACGUUACUCGCAGAAUAAGCACCGGCUAACUCUGUGCCAGCAGCCGCGGUAAUACAGAGGGUGCGAGCGUUAAUCGGAUUUACUGGGCGUAAAGCGUGCGUAGGCGGCUAAUUGAGUCGGAUGUGAAAUCCCCGAGCUUAACUUGGGAAUUGCAUUCGAUACUGGUUAGCUAGAGUGUGGGAGCGGAUGGUAGAAUUCCAUGUGUAGCGGUGGAAUGCGUAGAGAUCUGGAGGAAUACCGAUGGCGAAAGCAGCCAUCUGGCCUAACACUGACGCUGAGGUACGAAAGCAUGGCGAGCAAACAGG
rnacentral:rRNA from 1 species